CGAGCUCCGGGCCGGCGUCCCCCGCCCCCCCCCCGCACUUCCGGGGGGCGGGAGCACCGCCCUUAAGGUGGCUCCCUUAAGUCCCCUGUGCGGGCCGGGGAAAGCGGGCGUCCGUUUGGGGCCGGUCUCGCGAGCGCGCCCCCUCCCGCCCCCCGUUGAGGACGCCGCGAAGUUUGUGUCCCGGUCAAGUUCACCAGCGGCCGCCCGCGCUGCUGUCCCGCGGCGCCGGCCGCCCAGGGGCCUGCACUGCUCCAGACUGGGUGCCCAGCUCGGUCCGCGCUGCAGCCCCCCACCCCCCGCACCCGCAGCGCACCCUGCAGGCCGAGGGAAAAGGGGUGCGAGGGUUCACAGUUCUGCCCGCGGGGGAAAUUUCUCUCCUAGGGGGUGGAAUUAGGGGGCAGCUCAGCUUCCAGUUGUGAAUGAGCGUGUAGGGAAUCCGAAACUUGGGGAACCCCGGCGAUCGUCUGCUGCACGCCCGCGCACAGCGUGCAACCACACGCGCGCGCACACACCCCCACACCCUCCGAGUCCUGAUUUGUUUACAGGAAAACCAGUCCCGAGAGUGUCAGAUACUCAGGAAUAAGUCACGCAGCGAGUCCCGGGUGGGACCUGGAUUUCACACCGGCUGCCCUCCCGGCCGGGUGGUGGGCCCAUAUCCCGGGUGGCCUCUAGGAAGCGCUAGACUCAUGACCAGGUGCACUUACUCCAGUGAGGUGCAGGGAGAGGAGGAAGAUGAAGGAAAAGCUCAGGAGUCAGCGCCUCCGCGGGCCCUGCAUCCCUCGAGGACUGGAGUUUGGAGUUGGACCUGCAGCCACGUGGGUUCUUAAGGUUCUAAUUCUGGCUUUUCAGCUUCUGAACUUGGGGACUCCAGCUUUGGGUUUACAGCCCAGAGCUUUAAGGUAUUUGUGGCUUUGGGAGUUCAGACUCAGUGGCCCAACAGCCGCUAGUGUUGGAAAUCUUGACAACUUUUCUUCACCCCACGCACUCACCUCUCUUUCCCUUCCGCAGCAAAGGAAAACUGAGUGGCUCCCCCCUGCCCCGCCCCCCCCCAUCCCACUGGCAAUACGGUGAUGACAAGAUCCAGUUACUUUCCUCAAGGAGAGAACAUUCUCUAUUCUGUUGCCCUGAAUCCUUUUCUUUUGUAAUCAGGGAGCUGACGUUCUUAAUAAAUUUUUUAAUGUUAA